UACCAUGCAGUCGACGGUGAUGUCAGAGCUUGCUCUGGCGGAUCAGUGGCGAACGGGUGAGUAACACGUGAGUAACCUGCCCCCGACUCUGGGAUAACUGCUAGAAAUGGUAGCUAAUACCGGAUAUGACGAUUGGCCGCAUGGUCUGGUCGUGGAAAGAAUUUCGGUUGGGGAUGGACUCGCGGCCUAUCAGGUUGUUGGUGAGGUAAUGGCUCACCAAGCCUACGACGGGUAGCCGGCCUGAGAGGGUGACCGGCCACACUGGGACUGAGACACGGCCCAGACUCCUACGGGAGGCAGCAGUGGGGAAUAUUGCACAAUGGGCGAAAGCCUGAUGCAGCAACGCCGCGUGAGGGAUGACGGCCUUCGGGUUGUAAACCUCUUUUAGUAGGGAAGAAGCGAAAGUGACGGUACCUGCAGAAAAAGCACCGGCUAACUACGUGCCAGCAGCCGCGGUAAUACGUAGGGUGCAAGCGUUGUCCGGAAUUAUUGGGCGUAAAGAGCUCGUAGGCGGUUUGUCGCGUCUGCUGUGAAAUCCCGAGGCUCAACCUCGGGUCUGCAGUGGGUACGGGCAGACUAGAGUGCGGUAGGGGAGAUUGGAAUUCCUGGUGUAGCGGUGGAAUGCGCAGAUAUCAGGAGGAACACCGAUGGCGAAGGCAGAUCUCUGGGGCCGUAACUGACGCUGAGGAGCGAAAGCAUGGGGAGCGAACAGGAUUAGAUACCCUGGUAGUCCAUGCCGUAAACGUUGGGAACUAGAUGUGGGGACCAUUCCACGGUCUCCGUGUCGCAGCUAACGCAUUUAAGUUCCCCCCCCUGGGGAGGUACGGGCCGCAAGGGCUAAAACUCAAAAGGGAAUUGAACGGGGGGCCCGCACCAAGCGGCGGAGCAAUGCGGAUUAAUUCGAUGCAACCCCGAACGAACCUUACCCAAGGCUUGACAUAUCCCGGAAACAUGCAGAAAUGUGUGCCCCGCAAGGUCGGUAUACAGGUGGUGCAUGGUUGUCGUCAGCUCGUGUCGUGAGAUGUUGGGUUAAGUCCCGCAACGAGCGCAACCCUCGUUCUAUGUUGCCAGCACGUAAUGGUGGGAACUCAUAGGAGACUGCCGGGGUCAACUCGGAGGAAGGUGGGGAUGACGUCAAAUCAUCAUGCCCCUUAUGUCUUGGGCUUCACGCAUGCUACAAUGGCCGGUACAAAGGGCUGCGAUACCGUAAGGUGGAGCGAAUCCCAAAAAGCCGGUCUCAGUUCGGAUUGAGGUCUGCAACUCGACCUCAUGAAGUCGGAGUCGCUAGUAAUCGCAGAUCCGCAACGCUGCGGUGAAUACGUUCCCGGGCCUUGUACACACCGCCCGUCAAGUCAUGAAAGUCGGUAACACCCGAAGCCAGUGGCCUAACCGCAAGGAGGAGCUUCGAAGUGAU
rnacentral:rRNA from 1 species